rnacentral:rRNA from 1 species
GACGUAGGGCGCGAGCGUUGUCCGGAAUCAUUGGGCGUAAAGAGCGUGUAGGCGGCUAUUUAAGUCCUGCGUGAAAUCCUGCGGCUCAACCGCAGACGGUCGUGGGAAACUGGAUGGCUAGAGUGCGGGAGAGGAGAGUGGAAUUCCCGGUGUAGCGGUGAAAUGCGCAGAUAUCGGGAAGAACACCCGUGGCGAAGGCGGCUCUCUGGAACGCAACUGACGCUGAGACGCGAAAGCGUGGGGAGCAAACAGGG